AGAUCGUCAGCUAUGCAUGUCGCAGGUGUGAUGACCGAGUAUUCUUCUUUUUGAUGCCCGACCCUAAUUUAGUCGACCAGGAGGUCGCUGAUAAUAGAAAUGUGAUUCAACAUUAUGUCGUAAGUGCAGAACAAAAACUCUAUCAUAGUACAAGACUUGCGCAAUGUCCUAAAUGUGGUCAUAGAGACACUAAAUUCUUUUGGCUAACGACUCGCAGCGGAAUACCAGCAGGGCUGUCUUUUAUUUGCUGCAAUUCGGACUGCCUCCACAGAUUCUG